AUAACGCCGUCUGGAGAGAGGCUGCAAAGGCAGUCCACCGAAGGGGCAAACAGGGCAGAGCCCUGUAAACUCUCAGGUAUCAGGGACAGGGGGAGAGGC
rnacentral:ncRNA from 2 species